UAUGACCAUAUCACACUGAAAUACUGGUUCUCAUAUGAUCACUGAAGUUAAGUAGCACCAAGCCUGGUUAGUACCUAGAUGGGUGACCACUUGGGAAUACCAGAUGUUGUAA